rnacentral:rRNA from 1 species
UACGAAGGGAGCUAGCGUUGUUCGGAAUCACUGGGCGUAAAGCGCACGUAGGCGGAUUUGUCAGUCAGGGGUGAAAUCCCGGGGCUCAACCUCGGAACUGCCUUUGAUACAGCAAGUCUUGAGUUCGAGAGAGGUGGGUGGAAUUCCUAGUGUAGAGGUGAAAUUCGUAGAUAUUAGGAAGAACACCGGUGGCGAAGGCGGCCCACUGGCUCGAUACUGACGGCUGAGGAGCGAAAGCAUGGGGAGCAAACAGG